rnacentral:rRNA from 1 species
UACGUAGGGUGCAAGCGUUGUCCGGAAUUAUUGGGCGUAAAGAGCUCGUAGGCGGUCUGUCGCGUCUGCUGUGAAAUCCCGGGGCUCAACCCCGGGCUUGCAGUGGAUACGGGCAGACUAGAGUUCGGUAGGGGAGACUGGAAUUCCUGGUGUAGCGGUGAAAUGCGCAGAUAUCAGGAGGAACACCGGUGGCGAAGGCGGGUCUCUGGGCCGAUACUGACGCUGAGGUGCGAAAGCGUGGGGAGCAAACAGG